GUGUGGUUCAACUCCAGCUGCAGAUAUUGGGACCAGCAGUGCUGACUCUGAAACAGAGAUGCUGCACAACAGGAGCAAUCACCUGCUAGGCAGGACAAAACACUUCAGUUCUUUGAAUGUACAAUGGAGAGAGACCAGAAAAAAGGCUCUAGGCCUGCAACGACAACAGAGGAGCAGUUGGCUUCCAGUUUCUGCAUCCCAUAAGGAUUAGCUGCAGAGGUGACACAUUCUACAUGAAUGUCAGAAUGGGAGUGACAAUCGCCUUGGAAGGAUUUCAAGUGUGACCUGGUUAU